GCGUGUUAGAUAUUUUCGGGGGAAAGCGUUAUGCCGACGCACGUGAUCUAGAUACGGCUUGUUACUGGAUUAAGUCAGGAGAUGCCAAACCGACAAGGUCAAAAGAUGCAUAGACGACAAGGCAAGACAGUGCCUAGAAGAUGAGCCGAGACGAUGGCUAGGAAAUAAGGCAAGAGGAUGCCUAGGCGGCGAGGCAAGAUGACGCCUAGCCAACAAGCC
rnacentral:lncRNA from 1 species